GUCCCCGUAGUUCAGCAGAGAGAACGCAAGGUUGCGGACCUUGAGGCCGCAGGUGCAAUUCCUGCGGGGACA
rnacentral:tRNA from 1 species